rnacentral:rRNA from 1 species
GCCUGCGGUUAUAGCACGUUGAAUGCUUCGGUUCCUCCAUGGAUCACUGAAGUUAGGCAACGUGUCGCGUGGUUGAUAUCUGGACGGGUGACCGUCUAGGCACUCGCGUGCUGCUGAUU